AUGAUCUCUUGAGGUCCCUUUGAACCUCUGCAGUUCUGUGAUUUUCUGAUUCCUGCUCUAUUCACGCACUGUAUGAUAGUGAAGGAAUAAAAUGAAUGCAGUGAGCUCAUGUUCUCCAGCAAGAUCUUACUCAGACAGGACAAUUGAAAUGUUGUGACUUAGAAAAUAAUAAGAGGAAAGACUAAAGAGAAAGACUGGAAGAUUUUGUGCUGUUGCCUUCAGCACAACAGGACAGAAAAAUAUGUGAUCAGGACACUAAACCACUAUGAUGACUGCCAAAGACAACCUCUCCUACCUGCCCUCCACACAAGAGAUCAGGAGAAGUAGUGAACAAACCCACCGCAGGACCUAUCUGAAUCUUCUAUGUCCUGAUGUACCUGGCUCUCCUAAAGAAAUGAGACUUACAGAGCCUAGCUGCGUUUAAUAUGUGGUUCCUUUCCCAUUCUUUCUCUGACAGGUUUUUUUUUUCUUUUUUUUCUUUUUUUUUUUUUCAUAGCAGCUGGGCAAUUUAACCAAAUUUGACAGACUGAGGGAAAGAAAAUUCUUUGAGACAAAAAAAGAUAUUACAUUCCAAAGAAGUUUAUAAGACUAGACAGCUGAGUGAAGGAAACCUUUGUGAACCUCUUCUGAGAAAAGCUGAAGUAUGAGCACAUCUUUAUAUUAGGCACCAGUGAAUCUACAAAAAGGGUGCAUUCAGAGAAAAGAGGGAGACUGUGUGUCACUGGAAACCAGGCUUCAUUCCUUCCAAUGCGCAAAGAUAGGCUAUUUUUGUCACCAGCACUUAAGCACCUUCCAACCAUACACAAAGUGACAUAACUGAUGUCUGUCAAAAAUGUUUUGUGCCCUCUCUCUUCCACCUUCUCCAUCUGAAGAAGAAGUGUGUGUGGAAAGAAAAUACUUUUCUCCAAAGAUUUUAUCACAGAUACAGAGAAGUAAUCCAGGAAGACAGACCUCAUAGAUAUGAGGGUCUCUUUGAAGAUACAUUCUUGACACAGAGACUUCUGUAAGAAAACCGUCUGGCUAUUAGCCAAUUUCUCUGCUUAAGACUGAUGUGUUGAACUAUUAACAGAGAUGGGAAAUAUGUCUUUAAUGCAGCAGUUAUCGGAGAAUGAUUCUCUCUUCAGCCUGGAGGAGACCAAGCUGAGGCAGGAGGUAAUAGAGAGCCAAGCAACGUCAUUGAAAACAGAGCUCAACAACUCAUUGUGUGAGUGCCAAAGGUGGCAUGAAGCUAGCCAGAAGAGCGAGGAGAUGCGGCUUUUUGAAAGACACAUUUGUGAGAGACAGGUGCCUUGCACAGAAGCAAGAUACUGCUGAUCAGCUGUGUGUGUCUUUCGGUGGCAAUAUUCUGGCUCCUGAUGGAAUUCUACCUGUGUGUGUAACCUCUAAUUCUAAAAAUAAAAUGCCUUUCACUGAAUU
rnacentral:lncRNA from 7 species